CCUACGGGAGGCAGCAGUGAGGAAUAUUGGUCAAUGGACGAGAGUCUGAACCAGCCAAGUAGCGUGAAGGAUGACUGCCCUAUGGGUUGUAAACUUCUUUUAUAUGGGAAUAAAAUGUUCCACGUGUGGGAUUUUGUAUGUACCAUAUGAAUAAGGAUCGGCUAACUCCGUGCCAGCAGCCGCGGUAAUACGGAGGAUCCGAGCGUUAUCCGGAUUUAUUGGGUUUAAAGGGAGCGUAGGUGGAUUGUUAAGUCAGUUGUGAAAGUUUGCGGCUCAACCGUAAAAUUGCAGUUGAAACUGGCAGGCUUGAGUACAGGAGAGGUAGGCGGAAUUCGUGGUGUAGCGGUGAAAUGCUUAGAUAUCACGAAGAACUCCGAUUGCGAAGGCAGCUCACUGGACUGCAACUGACACUGAUGCUCGAAAGUGUGGGUAUCAAACAGGAUUAGAUACCCGGGUAGUC
rnacentral:rRNA from 1 species